rnacentral:pre_miRNA from 12 species
AGCUCCUUGUUGGAGAAGCAGGGCACGUGCAAUGUUCUUGGCUCUCAAAUGCCAGUGAACCCUUUGCACGUGCUCCCCUUCUCCAACAUGGGUUC